GACAUCGCAUCAAUACUCCUUGGAUCCAUCCGAAUUUCACUCCGGGAGUCGUAGAUUUCAAUUGCGGGACGGUUAACGUGUGCGAACCUGGGCCCUAGAGGCAUAUCGCAUAGUAAAUCGAGUGAUUUAAGAAAUUUGUUGCAAAAUCUGGCACAUCUUUAAAACAUUAUGGUAAGUUGAUAUGGAAUUAAUGCUUACACUUAUAAAUUAAAAUGAAAAAUAAUGUUCACACAAAAUUAUGCUAAAUAUGCAUCACAAUACGCAACAAGUUAUCUUGGCAAGUAGUAUCUAUCCGAAAUAUCCUAUUUCAAAAUAGAAACAUUAUGCAAAUAAUUUCAUAAAUGUGGUAUCUGCAGAAUCUUGUAGCGAUUCUGCCCCGAGAUACAUCCAUCCCUCUCCGUUCAGUUUUAAUUGAAUUCUUCUUUAGUUCGGAUUCAAGAGUCCCACCUAUUGUUCAUUUAAUUUCAAGAAUACAGCAUUUACUGCAUUAUUUACUGCGUCGUGUCUAUAAUUAGUCGCGUUCGUCUGCAUUCCGCUGCACCGUCAGCAGCUCCGCGAAUCGUCACACGUGCGCAUCGCAUAGAACGUGUAGCUAUGCGAGAUUGAGGUAACUCAGGAGGAUAGCUGAAAACUGAGAGAAAAGGAAAGAGAAAGAGAGAGGAAUCAACGGAGCCUGAGUUGUUUUCAGGAAGUCUCUCGAGUCGACACUUUCCCGGAGUGCCGCAACCCGUGUGCCGUCUUGAGAGCCGACUGUUCUUCCACGCACAUCGCGUAUCACGUAAUUGUGCCCAUGAUGAAUCCGGACGCGGCAUGCUCAUAAUUAUGCAAGAAAUUAUGCGCUGUCGCACUGGUCGGGAUGAUGAAGAAAAUGAUGAUGAUGAUGAUGAUGUCUUGAUCAAUUCGAUGUCUAACUGACAUACCGAGAAUGUCUCAAGGUUGAUGUUCGAAGCGGAUCCGAACGAUUUCUUGUGAAUGACGGCGGCCGGGAUGAUCCGCGCGCGGUCAGAUAGAUUUACGCGCGUAAGUCGAGAUUCACAGAGACGAUUAUCGAAGGUACUGAAGGUGAUUCUGGCCUGGAGGAACGGUCGACCGGUCGGUCAAUGAAGUUUAAUGAUUUACGUAACGUCGGAGCCCACGUCGCUGGCCUCACAUCCGCAACGACCGAUGUCGAGGAACUCUUCGCGAAUCGCGCACGCGAGCGACGAUCGCGAGAUGCACGCGAGGCCGCUGGAUUAAAAAAAGAUCAUGCAUGUGGCAUCAUGCGUGUGCGUUUGAAGAUGCUUGGAUUUUCGAGUUUUUUGUAUAUUCGAAGCACCGUUUCAUUUGCGUUGUUGAAAGCACACCGUUGCAUGAAUGAUUAACGAUUUCUGGGGUGGCGCGAGCUUCGCUGACAUGUUUGCUGUUAUGUACGUCUCAGGAAUGCAUGAAUAAAUGAAUAAUCGAACCGGGACUUUUAAAACGCGACACGUUAAAUUAAAUGCAAUAAUUGCGAAAAGUUGCCCAUGCACUGAUGAUUUGCAUCGUCACGAGAGUAAUUAACAAGGAUUGGAUGCGAUUGUCAAUUCGAUUUUGAUUGCACCGCAAUCGAUCUUCUCCAACGUUUUGCGACUCUUUUUCUCUGUCUUUUUCUCUCGAGCAGUGUGCCAGAGGAAGAAUAAAGACAUUCUAUCGAGGUAAGUCUUCUCUUACGUAUUCUUCACGUGCAUGUGUCCGUACGUGUUUGCUCUAUUACGAUGCGAAACGGGCACACGCAUAGUCAAAUAAUAUACGUAACGCCUAUUCUUCAGACUCCACGACUUAUUUGGAGCACGCGUUUUACUGGGCCCAUUGACAUCGAGCCGCAAGUAGUCAAUGCGCGAUUCAAUCGGUGCUUCGUGAGCACGACCACAUGGAUCGCGGAGAACAAGUUUCGAAAAAAAUCCUCUUUAUAUUAUGUUGAUUUUAUUCUCGUGCAAUUUUUAAUCACGAUCAAGGUGUGUCUUUUCAUACAUAACUGACAUAUUAUCUUGCUUCAUUAAUUACUGUGCUCUUCAAGACUUCGUAAACACUUUGUAAUUGUUGCAUAAGUUUAAUACAUUGCUGCAAAAAUCUAAAAAAAUAGGCUCAUAUAAACACGAUUUCUCUUUUUCAAUUUGAUAUUGGAAAUGCCAAGUAUUAGUUUCUCCACGUGUAUUUGGAUUCCUGCUGUUUGCUCAUUUGCCGAUAUAAUUACCCGCGCGUAUUCAGGAAUAUUCUACGACGAAUCACGAGGCACGUUCUUAAAGAACUUUUCUUUCACGGCGUACAAAGUCAACAUAUUACACAAUUAAGUGAAUGUAGUAUUGAAAAUCAUUCAAGAAUCAUCGAACGCGUGUGUAAAUAGCGGUGAGAAAUAUUGACGUAACGGCAAUAUUUAUUUUGCCUUUGACGUUAAAUGUGAUCGUUUAAUACCGUUUAAUAUGUCUGCGACAACAUUAUACGCGGUUCUCGUGCAGCAUAUCUAAAUCAAACUAAACAUUUAUCGGCCAGCUCUUAACGUUCAAUACAAUGUAAGAAGUGCAGAUAUCAAUCGAAGUUGAUAGGUAAACUUCACGGGAUGAGAUCUUUACAUGAAUAGCUCUUAUCAAUUUACGAACUCAAGGCUCUCCAUUGAAACCAAUUUAACGUACAUCGGAUUCUUAUCAAAACAACAAGAUAUCUCUUUACAAUAAAUGUCUGCAAAUAUUCGAGAGUGACGUUACGUUUUUCCCCCUUUUUUUAAUGGGUUCAUCAAACUCAUUACAUUACCUUCAAACAUAAUAACCGACACGCGAGUCCAUUUUAGUAACAUUUAGGACACUUAGCUUAGCACUUAUAUAAUUAGUCUUUUUCUAAUCCAGAUUAUAGAGCCGUAUUAGAGCGAUCUAGAAAAAGGUGAGGAACCGUUAAUUAGAGUCAAUUAACGGCAUCAGGGCGUCUGACCCGAAAAACUUGCGUCACACGACGAGACAGAGAAAUUUCGCUCAAUUAUCAACAGUCUGGUUAACAGUCAGAGACUCGGAGCUCGUGAUGUGCGUGAACUUGCUUGUUUAGCUAUCGCGAUGUCCAUCGAUGCAACGCACGAAGACAUACGGAUACACUCGAUCUCCAUCGUGUUACGUUUCUGGAUCACGGAUGAGGAUUGGUUUCUCGCGCAGAAAUUACGCCGUCUUAACAACGUACGCGUAUGAAGUGAUCAGGCCAUGCCGGGGAGCAUUUGUCAUCGUCUCAAACGAUGCUUUAAUCGUCCGAGCGAACGUGAGGGUCCUCACUUUGACCUGACGAUUACGCACCGCGGCGGGUCACAUGAUUUCAUACGCGUAUACUGUAAUCCUCCUCUGAAAAACUUCCUCGCUCGCAUUAAUGAAGCGUGACUAACGGCGCAACAUCUGUUGCAUAGAUAAGUCCCCUUUACGCAUCGCACAAACGCUUUCUAUGAAUUUCUUGCACUGCGUCACGGUAUGCCGUAACAUACGUGUAAUUUUGUUUAUCUUUUAUCUAUCGCAACGUGUUGCAAUUGAAAGUUCAUCAUUGUUUUCUAGUUACUGAUGUAUAUUUUUGUCGAUUACCGUCUCCGCUGCAAGUACAUCUUUAACACCACUUAGCAAGAAGCUUAAUGAUAAUCUUUCUUCCAAAAAAUAUAAAACCUAAAUCUUAUCUUAAAAAAACUGUAAAGUAUAAAAUAUUUAUAUAUUACAGCUUUUUGUCAAUAAAAUGUUUCGAUCCAUCCUACAAAGUUCAGAGCAUCUCGUUCAGCACGUGAAUACUUUCCGAUUCGGUUUCGAUUGCACGCAAUUUAUUGGCACAAGGUGAUUCGAUAUUUAUUCCGUACAAGGUGCGCCGUAAAUCUGACGUGACGCUUUUUCUAAAUUUAUUUAAAAAUAAUUCUCCGUGACCCAGUAUGCAACCGUGUCAUUCCUCCACGUAAGCGGUCGCUUACCGCAUGGCCGUAUGGCUUUAUCCCCUUUCUCUUUAGCCGUGAGUCUGCUCCUACACGAAUUGUCCGCCUCUUUCUGAAUUGUCUUGGAAUUUCGUCGCAUAAAAUCUAUGAAAUAUUGACGGCGAGGAAUCUCUCUUACAUUAAAACGCUGUCGAGCUCGAUCAAAUUUUUCGCGCGACUGAAUUAUUGCACGCUAAUUACAAUACAUACAUUUUUACGUGUUAAUUACAGUCUAUCUCGCCACUUGAAGUGGCAUUUCUCGAGAAAAGCCAUAAAAUGAUUAUCGCGGCGAGGAUGCCACCGAAUUAGCCUUCGCAAUGCGAAAAUGUUCAUCAUAAAGCUCAGACGAAACAUUAUUCUCGCCGAGGUGUGUGAGAUUUUAUCCGCUGAUCAAACAAAUCUACGGGCAAUGUCCGCUGAAAAUGAAACCGAGCCGUUACCAGGGAACAAUCCGACGGUAAGAUUGCACGUGAAGUAUCAAGGACAAUCGGCAUUCGUUUCACGCACGGAUAACGCUUUUGGUGACCCAGACGGAUUCACGACUGAAAAAGAACACCAGCGCACGCUGGAAGCCAACGAAUGCAGAUUACGUAAUAUCAAAGACGCCAAGUCACAGCACUGUUCAAAACGAAUCAGAAAAGGUAGAUCACAUAGAUCUUGUAUUAUAAAUUAAUGUAUAAGAUAUGUGUCCACAUGAUUCUUACAGAACGCAGUUGUGAUAAUUAAUGGCACUGAUAAACACGAAGGUCGUGUGAUUAAUCAUGAGAGAUUAAAGCUGCUUGAACUUAAUUAUGCAGAUGCAAUUGUGUGCGCGACUGGUGUAACAUCGGCGAACGUCAUGCAUCCGGAGCGACCGUCCUAAAACGCAAGCCGCGUGCUUGAAAGUUAGUCGUUGCAAAUAUUUGAUGUCGCGUACCACCGGUGAAUACACCACUGUUUGAUAACGGGCGCGCGGUCGCCGUUACGUCGUAAAGUUCGCUACGUCGACGGCAUUGUCAUGUACAGUAAUGAUAAAAAUUCAACGGUAAGUUCCAUCACAUUUACGGUUGCGAUAUUGCUUUCUGGCGUUCGUGGAACGGUCUGACCCCAUAGCGGUCCCAGGAAGAGACGGAUAAGCAGAAAGUUUUCCGCCCGGUUGCUCGACGUGGGGAGGAACCACAAGGCGAAACCACGGCGCGAUUACUCUCGGUCAGUCCUGGGUUAAUUCCACAAUUAAUCUGCGAUCGCGUUCGCUAUGCGCUGAUUUACGGGUCACUCGAGCAAGCGUUAAUUAAUACCUCGUGGUGACCACGCGGGAAAACAAUAAAGAGGCGGGCACGUGCUGCGACGUCGUAUCAUGUGAACAUAUGUGCUAUAUGUAUAUGUGUGCAUCGAAAGCUAUACGAUCUUUAAAGGAAAGAAACGCACGACAAAUUGUAACAGAUGUUUUAUGAAAGAAAGCGGGCCGUCCUCAUAACGAAGAUUUUGAUUGACACAAUGUAUGAGUAAACUAAAUUUGUUUCAGUAAUUAGGAAGUAUGAUUAAGAAUUUAACUCGAAAUUUAAUUAAGCGAAUAUAUAACGUAUAUUAAAGUGAAUAUAACAUAAAUAUAAAAUAAAAAAUAUAAAAAUAAUAUAAAUAACAUAUAUUAAAUUUAGUCAAAAAUAUAUAUGCACUCUUUUCUUAUCUGUGUAAAUCAGUUUCCAUAAUUUGACAAAUAAAAAAUUACACAUUAAAUUUUUUAUGAGAUGGGAAUCGUUCACGGAUUAUGUGGCAAGUCCAAAAAGUGCCAGAUCGGCACGUUUUUUGGACUCUCGCGGCCUGUUCCAGUGCUUGUUCCAGUCGUGCGUGCCUAUCCCAGAAACUAGUGUCAGACUGCAAUCUGACACGAGUACCAGAUUACCAGCCCGCACAUACGGUUCUUGUUUAAUUUUAGAUAUUAAUCCUACGAGAACGGGGCCACAGAUAACGAGUGAAAAAUUGCGAAGCGGGUGAAUGUCAGCGCAAUGCGUCUGUCACGCAAGAAUGCAUGUCGCGUACUAUCAUCAAGGAUUUUCGCGGCGUGUAUCGAUAGAUUUGCACUUAUCUGGCGCUAAGCUGUACGUGUAUAUUAUGUGUAUGUACAUCUGUGCUUCUUGUGCUUGUUGUUGUACUAUUUUUCUACAUACGACUUUCUUAUGUUUCUUGUUCCGCAACUGAAUGACUCUUCCAAGAAAUAUCCAUUAUGCAAUUCGACACCCACGUUUCCAUUGAGAAUUUUUCUCGCGGAAUCGCAAAAAAGAAAAAAAAGAGAUAAAUUCUACACGUGCCGCAGAAGAGCGAACGUGGCACACGAUUCCCGGACUCUUCCAGGAUGUGUCACUCGUUAUCAUGCUGAAUUUUAACUUAUCGUACCUCGCACUUUACACUUUGUGUAAGAACGUGAUAGUUACUAAUUAUUAUAACGUAACGCGAACGUGCAUUACGACAUUGUUAGAUUAUAAAAUGGCUAUCAGAGAAUAAACAUAAAUAGAAGAUAACUCCACGAUAGAAGAUAAGUAUAAAUAAAACUGCACGAUACAACGAUUAUUUUAUGCAACGACGUGGCAUACGAUUAUCUGCGGACGUUUGCUUCCUUCGGCGUGGAUGGUGACUUACGUCUUGUCGUAAAGCAAACGAUCAGCAGCAGUAGCAUUGGCUAUACGCUGUAAAAUGUCGUGACGUCUUCGUCGUAAGAUACUGCUUACGAGGCAAGCUCUGAAUUGCUGUUGGUGCAAUAUCACGUUGAAUUAUCUUCGCCGAGUAAUUUCAAUGCUUGUAUUGUUAUUCGCUUAAAACUUUAUCGAUCAAAAUAAAUCCGAUAAAC